rnacentral:rRNA from 1 species
AAAUCCAAGAACCGCAUGGUUCUUGGCUGAAAGAUGGCGUAAGCUAUCGCUUUUGGAUGGACCCGCGGCGUAUUAGCUAGUUGGUGAGGUAACGGCUCACCAAGGCAAUGAUACGUAGCCGAACUGAGAGGUUGAUCGGCCACAUUGGGACUGAGACACGGCCCAAACUCCUACGGGAGGCAGCAGUAGGGAAUCUUCCACAAUGGACGCAAGUCUGAUGGAGCAACGCCGCGUGAGUGAAGAAGGCUUUCGGGUCGUAAAACUCUGUUGUUGGAGAAGAAUGGUCGGCAGAGUAACUGUUGUCGGCGUGACGGUAUCCAACCAGAAAGCCACGGCUAACUACGUGCCAGCAGCCGCGGUAAUACGUAGGUGGCAAGCGUUAUCCGGAUUUAUUGGGCGUAAAGCGAGCGCAGGCGGUUUUUUAAGUCUGAUGUGAAAGCCCUCGGCUUAACCGAGGAAGUGCAUCGGAAACUGGGAAACUUGAGUGCAGAAGAGGACAGUGGAACUCCAUGUGUAGCGGUGAAAUGCGUAGAUAUAUGGAAGAACACCAGUGGCGAAGGCGGCUGUCUGGUCUGUA